UUGCAAUUCAAGAGAGAAUUUGCAGAGAUCUUGCAGAAGACGCCCCAGUUUAGUUCUCAGCGCACACAUCCUGGAGUCACAUGGAACUGCAGAUCCAGGGAUUCGACGCCCUAUCUGACCUCUGCAGAUGCUCCGACUGUCAUCUACCCAGAGGGUGACUGGUUUUCCCUGUGGGUCAGAAUGAACAAGAAUCCACAGACGGUCCUCUCUGUGGUCCAAGCACAGUCCUCUGCACCUGCACCUACACCUGCCACCUGCCACCUGCACCUGCACCUGCACCUGCACCUGAACCUGCACCUGCACCUGGACCUGCACCCGCACCUGCAAGGGGCCUCUCAUUGCUGUGGCCAAAAUCCUUGUUUUAAUUAACUGGAGAGAGAAAGGAUUUGGUUUAGCUGUUGGGUUUGGACAAACAGUUUCCCAGAAAGUAACAUGUAUGUAGAAUUCCUAAGAGAGACAUCGUCCCCAUCCAAGACUCAGGAAUGUGGCCCAGUUUUCUGAAUUUCCACCAGCAUCGGUCUUUCGGCUCCGCUUUCAGCUUCUCUAACCUACACUUCCAAACUCUUCCCCAUCCAGCCAACAAACUAGUUCCAAAGUUUUAAGAGCCACCGAAUCAAGGCCAUUCACCAAUGAACUUCCGACUUUUCAUAUCAAUUUUCUGUACUGUGACUUUUCAGUGCUCUGACCUGUGGAGAAUGUGGAGACGAACCUGGUAGAGGAAGAAAUGGGGAGGAGAUCAAGGCGCCACAAGCUCCUAUGACUCCUUAAGGAGUCCUGACCCACUGCACACAAUGUAUGAUAUGACGUGACUGUUAGCAUUCUGUCUAAGCUCCACCCCCACCAUUACCUGGCCAGGUGUGCCUGGCACUAUAAAAGGGGCUGCUGGCCCCUUCAUCACUCUCUUGCUCUCUUGCUCUUCCCCUCUUCCCCUUUGUCUCUUCUCUCCCCAUUCCCCUCCCAACUUCCCUCCACAUGCUCAUGGCCAGCCUCUCUCCUCCUCCUCCUCUUCUUCCUCCUCUUCCUCCUCCUCCUCUUCUCCCCCCUCCUCUCCUCUCCUCUCUUGUCCCUCUCCCUUGUCUCAUCCUUACAUUAAACCUCUCCACAUGGAACCAUGUUGGCCUAGUCUGGAUACGAGCUGAGAUCUCUACCCCAACAGUGGCUCACGGCAGACGAGUGAGACAAGACAAAGAACCCAGGCCAGGGCUGUGGCUGCUUUCCUGUCUUCACAGAGAUCUCCAUGGGGGAUUGGACUCUCCUUGACAGGCUCCUGGACAGGCAAGUCAGAUUUGACUAAACAACACAGGUUGCACCCCGAUUUGUCCUUGAAUACAUAAACAUACCCUAAUUGGCUGAAAGGCUAUCUAUAAACGCAUAGAAUAAACACUAAAGUCAGCUCUGCA